rnacentral:rRNA from 1 species
ACGUAGGGUGCGAGCGUUAAUAGGAAUUACUGGGCGUAAAGCGUGCGCAGGCGGUUAUAUAAGUCAGAUGUGAAAUCCCCGGGCUCAACCUCGGAACUGCAUUUGAGACUGUAUGACUAGAGUGUGGCAGAGGAGAGCGGAAUUCCACGUGUAGCGGUGAAAUGCGUAGAGAUGUGGAGGAACACCGAUGGCGAAGGCGGCCCCCUGGGCCAAUACUGACGCUCAUGCUCGAAAGCGUGGGGAGCAAACAG